rnacentral:rRNA from 1 species
UACGUAGGGAGCAAGCGUUGUCCGGAAUCAUUGGGCGUAAAGCGCACGUAGGCGGAUCUUUAAGUCAGGGGUGAAAUCCCAAGGCUCAACCUUGGAACUGCCUUUGAUACUGGGGAUCUCGAGUCCGGAAGAGGUGAGUGGAACUGCGAGUGUAGAGGUGAAAUUCGUAGAUAUUCGCAAGAACACCAGUGGCGAAGGCGGCUCACUGGUCCGGUACUGGACGCUGAGGUGCGAAAGCGUGGGGAGCAAACAGG